CUCUGGUUCAUGAAGACUUGCUUGCAGAGGUCUCCAACAUCCUCAUCUCCAGCAUCUCUUCAAAUAAAAGAGCCAAUAUAACAUGAUGAAUACUUGUUUCCUUGUUGUAAACAUCAAUGCCUCAGGGAGUGAAACCCAGAAAUCAAAUAGAAUUUGAUGUUCAUCUUUUCAUUUAUCAGGGGAAAGGUCUACAAAGAUCAGAAGAGGAUUUAGUUGAGAAAGAAUGGAAGACAAGAGGAAAUGUGAAGAGGAAAAGUGAAAAGAAU